CCUCUUGACGACGAGGAGCUCGUCUGACAUCGUGACUGGCCUCGACAUCGAGUUCAACCCCGUUGUCUCCGCUGUCUUGGCUCGGGCGGAGCCAAUUACUCCCACCGAUCUGUACACGCAGCUGCUUGCUUUUAAGC
rnacentral:snoRNA from 1 species